rnacentral:rRNA from 1 species
GACAGAGGUGCCAAGCGUUAGGCGGAAUCACUGGGCUUAAAGCGUGUGUAGGCGGACUUCUAAGUACCUUGUGAAAUCCCACGGCUCAACCGUGGAACUGCUCGGUAUACUGGGGGUCUUGAGCCACUUAGGGGUCGUCGGAACAAACGGUGGAGCGGUGAAAUGCGUAGAUAUCGGAAAGAACACCAACGGCGAAAGCACUCUGCUGGGCCGACACUGACACUGAGAGACGAAAGCUAGGGGAGCAAACAGG